GUGGCUCCCCAACACUGCUUGCGAUUUUGACAGCCUCUAGAGCUUGGUGACAGCCAAUGAUACCAGGAACUGUAGAUUAAAAAGAAAGUACUGUUAUAAAAUAACUAACCCAGGUCUAACUUUAUCAGCAUAUAGACUACACUAAUGGCAGAACCAAGAUAGUUAGUGGGUGUUAACAGAACUUAGCUCAGCAACCAAUGCAUGUCGAUGAACAGGAUAUCGAGGCAUAAUUUCCUGCUU
rnacentral:lncRNA from 1 species